rnacentral:lncRNA from 1 species
AUUUCCCUCUCAGCUGUCAGUCAUCCUGUCCUGCAGACCCCGCCUCCUACGGAAAUACAGGAGGUUGUCCGACACGUGAUUAAUUCAGUAUGGCGGAGCUGCUGGCUGAAUGAUUUUUACAGUACCGACCGACGGGUCCUAAAACCCUGCACUGUGGAUGCUUGUGGAGACUUGGAGAAAAACACAGCCAUUUGCACCCAAGGGUGCUCAAUUCAGCCUGACUGGAAGGAAUCCUGCCACAACACACCACUGAGCUCUCAACCUGUGGCUCGGUAUGAUGAAGCCUUAAGAAACAACCGCUCUCUGUUGAUCCUUGGCCUGGGGCCUUGGCCUGGCACCACCAACUUGGCUGGGAAACGCAUGUUGGUCACUACAGCCUCCACGGAGGUGCACUGACACCCUCACCGCUCACAUCUCCUCCCCUGUCAAGUCUGCCUGGCAACAACAACCAUAGCAAUGAGUGCUCACAGUCGAUCAGUGGACGUGAGCACGGCAGCACUGCCCAUGCAGGUGCCCCCCACCACCACAGCCAUCCUUCCCAUGGAUCUGCGCGUAGUGGACCAUCCUCACCUCCACCAUCACCACCUCCACCUCCACCACCAGCAGCCCCCCUUCAGCCUGGUUCCCCAGCCCCACCCUACACCGCCCGUCUCCACAGCCUGUCCGGUGUCCUCGGAGCCAGGCCGCGGGCCAGUCAUUAGUAAGUGGGCACGAUCUCUGGUUGUCAUGUCUAGUGGUCAAAAGUUGUCCGGCUCUUUAUAGGUAUAAAAUGUAC